rnacentral:rRNA from 1 species
GACGAACGCUGGCGGCGUGCUUAACACAUGCAAGUCGAACGGAAAGGCCCUGCUUUUGUGGGGUGCUCGAGUGGCGAACGGGUGAGUAACACGUGAGUAACCUGCCCUUGACUUUGGGAUAACUUCAGGAAACUGGGGCUAAUACCGGAUAGGAGCUCCUGCUGCAUGGUGGGGGUUGGAAAGUUUCGGCGGUUGGGGAUGGACUCGCGGCUUAUCAGCUUGUUGGUGGGGUAGUGGCUUACCAAGGCUUUGACGGGUAGCCGGCCUGAGAGGGUGACCGGCGACAUGGGGACUGAGAUACGGCCCAGACUCCUACGGGAGGCAGCAGUGGGGAAUAUUGCACAAUGGGCGGAAGCCUGAUGCAGCAACGCCGCGUGCGGGAUGACGGCCUUCGGGUUGUAAACCGCUUUCGCCUGUGACGAAGCGUGAGUGACGGUAAUGGGUAAAGAAGCACCGGCUAACUACGUG